UUUUGAAAACGACUUAAGUUA
rnacentral:piRNA from 1 species